GGAGUUAGCCGGUGCUUCUUCUGCGAGUAACGUCACAGAUGUAAGGUAUUAACUUACACCCUUUCCUCCUCGCUGAAAGUGCUUUACAACCCGAAGGCCUUCUUCACACACGCGGCAUGGCUGCAUCAGGGUUUCCCCCAUUGUUCAAUAUUCCCCACUGCUGCCUCCCGUAGGAGUCUGGGCCGUGUCUCAGUCCCAGUGUGGCUGAUCAUCCUCUCAGACCAGCUAGGGAUCGUCGCCUAGGUGAGCCUUUACCUCACCUACUAGCUAAUCCCACCUGGGCUUAUCCAUCAGCGCAAGGCCCGAAGGUCCCCUGCUUUCCCCCGUAGGGCGUAUGCGGUAUUAGCAGUCGUUUCCAACUGUUAUCCCCCACAAAUGGGCAAAUUCCCAGGCAUUACUCACCCGUCCGCCGCUCGUCAUCUUCAAAAGCAAGCUUUUGAAAUGUUACCGCUCGACUUGCAUGUGUUAGGCCUGCCGCCAGCGUUCAAUCUGAGCCAGGAUCAAACUCUGA
rnacentral:rRNA from 1 species